AUAGGAUGAUUGCAUUAGUUUUCACGAAUAUGCCGCAUUGCAUCGAUUGUUGUUGAUGUGGGUGAAUAUUGGAUGACCUAAUUAGUCCAUGACAGGAAGACCAGGACCCCAUUCUACGGCCUGGCACAGAGUAAGGAAAGACCAGGACCCCAUUCUACGGCCUGGCACGGUUAUGGGACUCGAAGACCAGGAGCCCAGAG
rnacentral:lncRNA from 1 species